rnacentral:rRNA from 1 species
GAUGAACGCUGGCGGCGUGCUUAACACAUGCAAGUCGAACGGGAUCCCAGGAGCUUGCUCCUGGGUGAGAGUGGCGAACGGGUGAGUAAUGCGUGACCGACCUGCCCCAUACACCGGAAUAGCUCCCGGAAACGGGUGGUAAUGCCGGAUGCUCCAGUUGACCGCAUGGUCCUCUGGGAAAGAUUCAUCGGUAUGGGAUGGGGUCGCGUCCUAUCAGCUUGAUGGCGGGGUAACGGCCCACCAUGGCUUCGACGGGUAGCCGGCCUGAGAGGGCGACCGGCCACAUUGGGACUGAGAUACGGCCCAGACUCCUACGGGAGGCAGCAGUGGGGAAUAUUGCACAAUGGGCGCAAGCCUGAUGCAGCGACGCCGCGUGCGGGAUGACGGCCUUCGGGUUGUAAACCGCUUUUGACUGGGAGCAAGCCCUUCGGGGUGAGUGUACCUUUCGAAUAAGCA